rnacentral:antisense_RNA from 1 species
AGUCAUGAUUACUAUUCCCUAAAAUAGUGAUUGUGAUUAGCGGCGCGGGUGUGUUGGCGCACAUCCGUGCCGCGCU